GUGGUUGGUGAUAGUAGGCACAAUACAAAUAAUAAGUUGAAAAUAAGCAUAGACACGGAGAUUUCCGAAUAGGUCAACCUUUCAAACUGCUGCUGAAUCCAUGGGCAGGCAAGAGACAACCUGGCGAACUGAAACAUCUUAGUAGCCAAAGGAAAAGAAAGCAAAAGCGAUUCCAGUAGUAGCGGCGAGCGAAAUGGGAGCAGCCUAAACCGUGAAAACGGAGUUGUGGGAGAGCAAUACAAGUGUCGUGCUGUUGGGCGAAGCGGUGGAGUACUGCACCCUAGAUGGUGAGAGUCCAGUAGCCGAAUGUAUCACUAGCUUACGCUCUGAACCGAGUAGCAUGAAGCACGUGGAAUCUGAACUUUACAUGUUUAAACUUUAAC
rnacentral:ncRNA from 1 species